rnacentral:rRNA from 1 species
AGAGUUUGAUCCUGGCUCAGGAUGAACGCUAGCUACAGGCUUAACACAUGCAAGUCGAGGGGCAGCAUGAACUUAGCUUGCUAAGUUUGAUGGCGACCGGCGCACGGGUGAGUAACACGUAUCCAACCUUCCGUUUACUCAGGGAUAGCCUUUCGAAAGAAAGAUUAAUACCUGAUAGUAUGGUGAGAUUGCAUGAUAACACCAUUAAAGAUUUAUUGGUAAACGAUGGGGAUGCGUUCCAUUAGGUAGUAGGCGGGGUAACGGCCCACCUAGCCUGCGAUGGAUAGGGGUUCUGAGAGGAAGGUCCCCCACAUUGGAACUGAGACACGGUCCAAACUCCUACGGGAGGCAGCAGUGAGGAAUAUUGGUCAAUGGGCGAGAGCCUGAACCAGCCAAGUAGCGUGAAGGAUGAAGGUCCUACGGAUUGUAAACUUCUUUUAUACGGGAAUAAAGUUUCCUACGUGUAGGAUUUUGUAUGUACCGUAUGAAUAAGCAUCGGCUAACUCCGUGCCAGCAGCCGCGGUAAUACGGAGGAUGCGAGCGUUAUCCGGAUUUAUUGGGUUUAAAGGGAGCGCAGACGGGAGAUUAAGUCAGUUGUGAAAGUUUGCGGCUCAACCGUAAAAUUGCAGUUGAUACUGGUUUCCUUGAGUGCAGUUGAGGCAGGCGGAAUUCGUGGUGUAGCGGUGAAAUGCUUAGAUAUCACGAAGAACCCCGAUUGCGAAGGCAGCUUGCUAAACUGUAACUGACGUUCAUGCUCGAAAGUGUGGGUAUCAAACAGGAUUAGAUACCCUGGUAGUCCACACGGUAAACGAUGGAUACUCGCUGUUGGCGAUAUACUGUCAGCGGCUUAGCGAAAGCGUUAAGUAUCCCACCUGGGGAGUACGCCGGCAACGGUGAAACUCAAAGGAAUUGACGGGGGCCCGCACAAGCGGAGGAACAUGUGGUUUAAUUCGAUGAUACGCGAGGAACCUUACCCGGGCUUAAAUUGCAGACGAAUUACGAGGAAACUUGUAAGCCGCAAGGCGUCUGUGAAGGUGCUGCAUGGUUGUCGUCAGCUCGUGCCGUGAGGUGUCGGCUUAAGUGCCAUAACGAGCGCAACCCUCGUGGUCAGUUACUAACAGGUUAAGCUGAGGACUCUGGCCAGACUGCCAUCGUAAGAUGUGAGGAAGGUGGGGAUGACGUCAAAUCAGCACGGCCCUUACGUCCGGGGCUACACAC